UACAGAGGGGGCAAGCGUUGUUCGGAAUUACUGGGCGUAAAGGGUGCGUAGGUGGCGCGCUAAGUCAGGUGUGAAAUUUCGGAGCUUAACUCCGAAACUGCAUUUGAUACUGGCGUGCUUGAGGACUGGAGAGGAGACUGGAAUUCACGGUGUAGCAGUGAAAUGCGUAGAGAUCGUGAGGAAGACCAGUGGCGAAGGCGGGUCUCUGGACAGUUCCUGACACUGAGGCACGAAGGCCAGGGGAGCAAACGGG
rnacentral:rRNA from 1 species